CCUACGGGAGGCAGCAGUGAGGAAUAUUGGUCAAUGGACGCGAGUCUGAACCAGCCAAGUAGCGUGAAGGAUGACUGCCCUAUGGGUUGUAAACUUCUUUUAUAAGGGAAUAAAAUGAGGUACGUGUACCUUUUUGCAUGUACCUUAUGAAUAAGGAUCGGCUAACUCCGUGCCAGCAGCCGCGGUAAUACGGAGGAUCCGAGCGUUAUCCGGAUUUAUUGGGUUUAAAGGGAGCGUAGGCGGGUUGUUAAGUCAGUUGUGAAAGUUUGCGGCUCAACCGUAAAAUUGCAAUUGAUACUGGCAGGCUUGAGUACAGUUGAGGUAGGCGGAAUUCGUGGUGUAGCGGUGAAAUGCUUAGAUAUCACGAAGAACCCCGAUUGCGAAGGCAGCUUACUAAACUGUGACUGACACUGAUGCUCGAAAGUGUGGGUAUCAAACAGGAUUAGAUACCCCUGUAGUC
rnacentral:rRNA from 1 species